rnacentral:rRNA from 1 species
GACGAACGCUGGCGGCGUGCUUAACACAUGCAAGUCGAACGGAAAGGCCCUGCUUUUGUGGGGUGCUCGAGUGGCGAACGGGUGAGUAACACGUGAGUAACCUGCCCUUGACUUUGGGAUAACUUCAGGAAACUGGGGCUAAUACCGUAUAGGAGCUCCUGCUGCAUGGUGGGGGUUGGAAAGUUUCGGCGGUUGGGGAUGGACUCGCGGCUUAUCAGCUUGUUGGUGGGGUAGUGGCUUACCAAGGCUUUGACGGGUAGCCGGCCUGAGAGGGUGACCGGCCACAUUGGGACUGAGAUACGGCCCAGACUCCUACGGGAGGCAGCAGGGGGGAAUAUGGCACAAUGGGCGGAAGCCUGAUGCAGAAACGCCGCGUGCGGGAUGACGGCCUUCGGGUUGUAAACCGCUUUCGCCUGUGACGAAGCGUGAGUGACGGUAAUGGGUAAAGAAGCACCGGCUAACUACGUG